UUGUGCGGCUGGAACGUGGCAGGCUGCGGAGGGCAAUACUCAUCCCCCACGCGGUUCAACACAAUGUCCUAGA
rfam:Leptomonas pyrrhocoris LpyrH10_09, whole genome shotgun sequence.